GCGGACUUUGGCUUCUGGAGCCGCAGAGCCCGUCUGUCCCGGCCUCUCCGCGCCUCCGCCUGGUAGGGGGCGGGGAGGGGCACCAGCGGGAAGGGAGGGAAGGAGCUAGAAGAGAGGAUUUGGGGAUAGGGGCUGGAAGCGCUAACGAGACCUGCCGGGAGGAUUUGCGUCUCCUGCAGUCCACCCAGGGAGUCCAGGGCCGGAGGAGCCCCCAGCCACAUCCCCUUCUCACCCUUUCUCUGGCCUCCGCGCCUUCACUCCCGGGCAGCCAUAUACCUUGA
rnacentral:lncRNA from 1 species